CCUACGGGAGGCAGCAGUGAGGAAUAUUGGUCAAUGGUCGGGAGACUGAACCAGCCAAGCCGCGUGAGGGAUGAAGGUACAGAGUAUCGUAAACCUCUUUUGUCAGGGACCAAAGGCGGGUACUCGUCCCCCGAUGAGUGUACCUGCAGAAACAGCAUCGGCUCACUCCGUGCCAGCAGCCGCGGUAAUACGGAGGAUGCGAGCGUUAUCCAGAUUUAUUGGGUUUAAAGGGUGCGCAGGCGGUCUGUUAAGUCAGCGGUAAAAGCCCGGGGCUCACCCCCGGCCCGCCGUUGAAACUGGCAGUCUCGAGUUGGAGAGAAGUAUGCGGAAUGCGCGGUGUAGCGGUGAAAUGCAUAGAUAUCGCGCAGAACUCCGAUUGCGAAGGCAGCUUGCUGCAGCGGAACUGACGCUGAUGCUCGAAAGCGCGGGUAUCGAACAGGAUUAGAUACCCGGGGAGUC
rnacentral:rRNA from 1 species